rnacentral:rRNA from 1 species
AGGACGAACGCUGGCGGCGUGCCUAACACAUGCAAGUGGAGCGACGAACCAGGCUUCGGCCUGGGGCAGAGCCGCGAACGGGUGAGUAACACGUGGGUAACCUGCCCUGAUGAUUGGGACAACCCGAGGAAACUCGGGCUAAUACCGAAUGUGCCCUCCGGCCUCAAGGCCGUUGGGGAAAGGAGCUUCGGCCUCCGCAUCGGGAUGGGCCCGCGGCCCAUUAGCUUGUUGGUGAGGUAACGGCUCACCAAGGCAACGAUGGGUAGCUGGUCUGAGAGGACGAUCAGCCACACUGGGACUGAGACACGGCCCAGACUCCUACGGGAGGCAGCAGUAGGGGAAUCUUGCGCAAUGCGCGGAAGCGUGACGCAGCAACGCCGCGCGGGGGAAGAAGGCUCUCGGGUUGUAAACCCCCUUUCAGUUGGGACGAAGCUUCGUCGGUUAAUAGCCGGCUGGAGUGACGGUACCUUCACAAGAAGCACCGGCUAACUACGUGCCAGCAGCCGCGGUAAUCC